GAGGGUAUAGCUCAGAGUUAGAGCACGUGCUUAGCACGCACGAGGCCCUGGGUUCAAUCCCCGGUACCUCCA
rnacentral:tRNA from 1 species